AUGAUGGGCACAUCUGUUAAAAGAUAACACAGGUGUCCUAAGAUGAGCUCAACGAGAACAUAAAUCUCGUGUAGAACAGAAGGGUAUGACGCACGUGUCAAUGGCCGUACGUGGUUUGCAGUUGACAACA
rfam:Spinacia oleracea cultivar SynViroflay scaffold55935.con0004.1, whole genome shotgun sequence.